rnacentral:rRNA from 1 species
UCCUACGGGGGGCAGCAGUAGGGAAUCUUCCACAAUGGACGAAAGUCUGAUGGAGCAACGCCGCGUGAGUGAAGAAGGGUUUCGGCUCGUAAAGCUCUGUUGGUAGUGAAGAAAGAUAGAGGUAGUAACUGGCCUUUAUUUGACGGUAAUUACUUAGAAAGUCACGGCUAACUACGUGCCAGCAGCCGCGGUAAUACGUAGGUGGCAAGCGUUGUCCGGAUUUAUUGGGCGUAAAGCGAGUGUAGGCGGGUCAAUAA